rnacentral:lncRNA from 1 species
CACUGUCAGCCCACAGAAGCUUCGGGAACCAUAGCACCCCCACCCCCACUCACCGGCGUGGCUAGGCCUGGCCAUGUCUGUCACCAAAUCUGUCCUGCCCUGCGACUCACUGGGUACCAUGUGAGCCAAGCCUGCACCAGUGUGAGGACGGAACUGCUGUGUCUGUGCGACCAAGUGGGUGCUUAAGAAGGACUCCUCGAGGCAAGACUUAUUUUUUCUUAGGAGACGGCCUGGCUUUGUGGUCCAGGCUGGCCUUGAACUUGCUAUGUAGCCAAGGCUGGCCUCCAACACACAAUGAUCCUCCUGCCUCAGCCUCCCCAGUGCUGGGAUUACAGGGAUGUGGCACCACAUCCAGCCGAAGCAAGAGUUCAAAAUUAAAGCAUCCUGUGCCCCCAGAUGUCUGGCUCUGCCUUGCUGUCCCAGGCCAGCAGCCUCUAGUGGGGCACGAGGGGCCAUGGGGCCACAGCUCAACUCCCAGACACCCUCUCUGGGCUCAGACUCUUGAGCGAAGGGACAGCAAAGUGUGUGAGCCCGCCCGGAUCUGGCCAUCAGCUGACGCUGCUCCCCAGAGUGGGGGAGCAGCCCCCCCCACCCCCGGCCGGAUGCUCAGUUUCCCUUCCACUGAAGUCUGUUUCCCCGGGCAUGGUGGCGCACGCCUGAAACCCAAGCACUCUGGGAGGCUGAGGCAGGAGGAUCGCAAGUUUGUGCCCGACCUGAGAAACAGCAACUUAGUGAGACUCUGUCUCAAGAUAAAAAAUCAGGAGGCUGUAGCUCAGCGGGGGGGACCUGGGUUCAAUCCCCCAGUGCUGAAAAAAACCUGUUUCUAGUUAAAAGUAGCCAGAGCUAAUUUCUCCCAUUUGUAGCUGAAAAAUCCCAAAGGACGCGGCUCACAGCAACCCGUCAGCACGCGGGUGUGCGUGGACUCGCACGUGCACGUCGCGGGGGCACAGCGCUGUCUCGUCCGCAGGCGACUCACUCACGAGCGUGCGCAGUCUGACCCCGGAUUCCCUCUCCACAUCCGGCCACGAGCUGAUGAGAAACCGGGAGGGCCAGUGCACUGCGUGAGCGCGAGUGUGAGAGCGUGCAGCCUGGGGAAAAAUCCUGCCGACUCGCCACGCUGUUGGAGCGCACGCCCGCUCUACCAGGGGCGCGGGCCUUGCCGUCAGCGUCCUCUGCAGGCGCAGCCACCCCAAGCUUCCGCCGACCCUGACCCCAGCCCCAGCCCUCAACCCACGACCCGAGGCCACAGAGGCCCACAGGUGCAGAGCAGGCUGCUGCCCAGCAGGAAGGAAAAGGCCACCAUCAGGGCAAGGCAAGUGUUGUGGGCACAGCGGCCCUGUGUUGCUUGCCUGUCUGCACACGGAGUCACCUGCCCGCUCCUCGGAUUUCUGCA